UAGAUCAUGUCCGGCUGGACUUUCUCGC
rnacentral:sRNA from 1 species